rnacentral:lncRNA from 1 species
GGACUCCUGGUGAGCUGUGGCAGGUGCUGAGAGGCAUCCACAGUGGUGAUGGCAGCCUGUGGCAUUGACAGCCAAGUACUUACCUCGGAUCUUAACCUAGCAAUGACUCCUAACACCCUGGGAAGACCUAAACAAGGAAGGUGUCAUUUCUUCAGGGAGUUGCAGGGAUACUGAACAAGACAAAGUGGUUUUCAGAUGCAUGCCUUACAGACUAUUGGUUCUGUCUCCCAUCUGGCGACCAUCUCAGGCAGAUCAAAGGACUCAGUGUCAGCUUGCACAUCCUUGGCACUCAUUUCUGGGGGUGGGGAGAGGGU